GGCUUAGUGUGGGUGCAAUAGGAGGCAGUGUUACUGCAAUAGGGAUUUAGCUAGGGGUGUGGAGCGUGAGGUGUGUCUAACCCUUUCGGUGGCUGGGGGGAUGUUGCCUGAGUGCUAAUUAAUGCAGCUCUUAGUGAAUUGUGUGAGUAUAAAUUUGAAUGAGGGUUAAAGGAAUUAUAGUAGAACUAAAAUAAAGUCUAGGUAAUAUGAAAGUGUGGAACAGGUUUGGUUAGCAUAAGAGUCCUCUUGCUGGUGGUCAAAGACGG